CCAGAGAAUUUAGCAGAGAUGCUUUAGUGCCUUCGGGAACUCUGAGACAGGUGCUGCAUGGCUGUCGUCAGCUCGUGUUGUGAAAUGUUGGGUUAAGUCCCGCAACGAGCGCAACCCCUAUCCUUUGUUGCCAGCGAUUCGGUCGGGAACUCAAAGGAGACUGCCGGUGAUAAACCGGAGGAAGGUAGGGAUGACGUCAAGUCAUCAUGGCCCUUACGAGUAGGGCUACACACGUGCUACAAUGGCGCAUACAAAGAGAAGCGACCUCGCGAGAGCAAGCGGACCUCAUAAAGUGCGUCGUAGUCCGGAUUGGAGUCUGCAACUCGACUCCAUGAAGUCGGAAUCGCUAGUAAUCGUAGAUCAGAAUGCUACGGUGAAUACGUUCCCGGGCCUUGUACACACCGCCCGUCACACCAUGGGAGUGGGUUGCAAAAGAAGUAGAUAGCUUAACCUUCGGGAGGGCGUUUACCACUUUGUGAUUCAUGACUGGGGUGAAGUCGUAACAAGGUAGGCGUAGCGAG
rnacentral:rRNA from 1 species